rnacentral:rRNA from 1 species
GUAGGUGGCGAGCGUUGUCCGGAAUUAUUGGGGCGUAAAGCGCGCGCAGGCGGUUCUUUAAGUCUGAUGUGAAAGCCCACGGGCUCAACCGUGGAGGGUCAUUGGAAACUGGAGAACUUGAGUACAGAAGAGGAAAGCGGAAUUCCACGUGUAGCGGUGAAAUGCGUAGAGAUGUGGAGGAACACCAGUGGCGAAGGCGGCUUUCUGGUCUGUAACUGACGCUGAGGCGCGAAAGCGUGGGGAGCAAACAGGAUUAGAUACCCUGGUAGUCCACGCCGUAAACGAUGAGUGCUAAAUGUUAGGGGGUUUCCGCCCCUUAGUGCUGCAGCUAACGCAUUAAGCACUCCGCCUGGGGAGUACGGCCGCAAAGGCUG